rnacentral:tRNA from 1 species
GCGCGGCCAGCCCGAGGAAGGCCGCCAGGAUCAGCGCCUGGGCCAGCCUUGCGGUGUUGCGGGGCGUCAUCGCUCAGCGCAGCGGCUGGGCG